UCCUGUGUAAAACAGGACUUUUACACUGACUUGUAAUCAGUAGUUCCCGGGUUCGACUCCUGGUGCCGGCACCA
rnacentral:tRNA from 1 species